rnacentral:rRNA from 1 species
UACGUAGGGCGCAAGCGUUGUCCGGACUUAUUGGGCGUAAAGAGCUCGUAGGCGGUCUGUCGCGUCUGCUGUGAAAAUCCAGGGCUCAACCCUGGACCUGCAGUGGGUACGGGCAGACUAGAGUGCGGUAGGGGAGAUCGGAAUUCCUGGUGUAGCGGUGAAAUGCGCAGAUAUCGGGAGGAACACCGAUGGCGAAGGCAGCACUCUGGGCCGGUACUGACGCUGAGGAGCGAAAGCGUGGGGAGCAAACAGG